GUACACUCCUGCGGGAGGCAGCAGUGGGGAAUAUUGGACAAUGGGCGCAAGCCUGAUCCAGCCAUGCCGCGUGAGUGAUGAAGGCCCUAGGGUUGUAAAGCUCUUUCACCGGUGAAGAUAAUGACGGUAACCGGAGAAGAAGCCCCGGCUAACUUCGUGCCAGCAGCCGCGGUAAUACGAAGGGGGCUAGCGUUGUUCGGAUUUACUGGGCGUAAAGCGCACGUAGGCGGACUAUUAAGUCAGGGGUGAAAUCCCGGGGCUCAACCCCGGAACUGCCUUUGAUACUGGUAGUCUGGAGUUCGAGAGAGGUGAGUGGAAUUCCGAGUGUAGAGGUGAAAUUCGUAGAUAUUCGGAGGAACACCAGUGGCGAAGGCGGCUCACUGGCUCGAUACUGACGCUGAGGUGCGAAAGCGUGGGGAGCAAACAGGAUUAGAUACCCGUGUAGUCCC
rnacentral:rRNA from 1 species